rnacentral:rRNA from 1 species
CCUAUGGGUGGCUGCAGUGGGGAAUAUUGGACAAUGGGGGGAACCCUGAUCCAGCCAUGCCGCGUGUGUGAAGAAGGCCCUCGGGUUGUAAAGCACUUUCAGUGAGGAAGAACGCCUGGUGGUUAAUACCCAUCAGGAAAGACAUCACUCACAGAAGAAGCACCGGCUAACUCCGUGCCAGCAGCCGCGGUAAUACGGAGGGUGCGAGCGUUAAUCGGAAUUACUGGGCGUAAAGCGCGCGUAGGUGGCUUGAUAAGCCGGUUGUGAAAGCCCCGGGCUCAACCUGGGAACGGCAUCCGGAACUGUCAAGCUAGAGUGCAGGAGAGGAAGGUAGAAUUCCCGGUGUAGCGGUGAAAUGCGUAGAGAUCGGGAGGAAUACCAGUGGCGAAGGCGGCCUUCUGGACUGACACUGACACUGAGGUGCGAAAGCGUGGGUAGCAAACAGGAUUAGAUACCCCAGUAGUC